CAGCAGCCGCGGUAAUGCGUAGGUCCCGAGCGUUGUCCGGAUUUAUUGGGCGUAAAGGGAGCGCAGGCGGUCUAGUAAGUCUGAAGUUAAAGGCAUUGGCUCAACCAAUGUAUGCUUUGGAAACUGUUAGACUUGAGUGCAGAAGGGGAGAGUGGAAUUCCAUGUGUAGCGGUGAAAUGCGUAGAUAUAUGGAGGAACACCGGUGGCGAAAGCGGCUCUCUGGCUUGUAACUGACGCUGAGGCUCGAAAGCGUGGGGAGCAAAUGGGAUUAGAUACCCCCGUAGUCCCUGUCUCUUAUACC
rnacentral:rRNA from 1 species